ACGCACGCUGGCGGCGUGCUUAACCCCUGCAAGUCGAACGGAAAGGCCCUGCUUUUGUGGGGUGCUCGAGUGGCGAACGGGUGAGUAACACGUGAGUAACCUGCCCUUGACUUUGGGAUAACUUCAGGAAACUGGGGCUAAUACCGGAUAGGAGCUCCUGCUGCAUGGUGGGGGUUGGAAAGUUUCGGCGGCUGGGGAUGGACUCGCGGCUUAUCAGCUUGUUGGUGGGGUAGUGGCUUACCAAGGCUUUGACGGGUAGCCGGCCUGAGAGGGUGACCGGCCACAUUGGGACUGAGAUACGGCCCAGACUCCUACGGGAGGCAGCAGUGGGGAAUAUUGCACAAUGGGCGGAAGCCUGAUGCAGCAACGCCGCGUGCGGGAUGACGGCCUUCGGGUUGUAAACCGCUUUCGCCUGUGACGAAGCGUGAGUGACGGUAAUGGGUAAAGAAGCACCGGCUAACUACGUG
rnacentral:rRNA from 1 species